rnacentral:rRNA from 1 species
UACGUAGGAUGCAAGCGUUGUCCGGAAUUACUGGGCGUAAAGGGCGAGCAGGUGGCACUACAAGUCUGAUGUAAAAAUCUCCCGGCUUAACUGGGAGGGGCCAUUGGAAACUGUAGAGCUGGAGUGCAGGAGAGGCUAACGGAAUUCCCGGUGUAGUGGUGAAAUGCGUAGAUAUCGGGAGGAACACCAGUGGCGAAGGCGGUUAGCUGGCCUGUAAACUGACACUGAGGCGCGAAGGCUAGGGGAGCGAACAGG